rnacentral:lncRNA from 10 species
AAACAACAGCCUCACAUGUGCUCACCACUGGGUUGAAGCAAAGCCUUCUUCCAAAAGCAAAAAUUGGAAAAAUAUGCUACCGACAGACUGCCCCUAAAGGUAAUAUUAAACAGGGACUCCAAAGGCAGAAGAGAAGCUGACCCAAUGCGACAUGAAAAUUCAGGAAGGACACAACAGCGGUGAGAACUCAAGAUAAUGUACGAUGAAGAACUGGCCCGGGGUGACAGGGCUGACCGGGAGCUGAGAAGUCGUCAGGGCCAGUCUCUGUGGCCCAGAGCAGGCCGAUAGAGAGAUCGGGGAGAGCUGUCCUCACCACCUGGAAGUGAGUCCCACCCAGACCUUAUCAAAACUACUCACUCCACCUGGGCCGCUGCUGAAGCCCUAUUUUGAAAUUUCCCUUUUCCAGAGCUUUUUUCCUGUCCUAAGCCCCAUAAAUAAAUGAAGGCACU